rnacentral:sRNA from 1 species
UGUUCAAUUACAGUUUGUGUGUGUCAGGCCUACUGGUAUAUCUAUUUAACUCUGUGCAUUAAGCAGUCAUUUAAAGAUAUACAUAUUUUAUUUAUUAUUAUAAAAACGAAGAUUAAAUUACAUUAUGGCUACAUCAUGUCAAGAUUGUGUUUAUUCACUUCAAGAUUUCUUAAAUAUGUGUGACGAAGAAAAUUCAUUUUAAAAAAAUUUAUAUAGCCAUGGUGUUUUAAGUGAAAAAAUGCUUUGCAGGAGGUGCAAUGCUGAAAUGACCCUAGACAGCAAAACAAACACCUUUUGGUGUACUAAAAGAAUUUUAAAAAUUAAUCCAAAUAGGAAACGUCUUUGCGUGUCCCGCACGGUUAGCAUGGUAUAGAUAAGGAAAACGGGGGUUUUAGUGGUGUACGCAGUCUCUUGUUGCGAGUCUGACACUGUUCUCAUUCAUGCUGGUGAGAGGGAGCUCUUGUUUACUUUUGCUGGCCUAGAGUUCCAAGAGCCGAAGGCUCAACUCUACCUGACUCUACCUGACAGUUAAAGAAGAAGAAGUGUUCCUUGCAACUUUAAAGCAUCACAACACACAGGUUCUUGAUUUGAAAAAGAUACAAAAAAACAUUGUUAGUAAAUUUGUUGCCUAUUGGGUAACCAUGCCAUUUCCUCGUGUAGACUUUUUUCAACUAGAACUAAAAUUAUCAAGGAAAACCAUCAUAGACUGGUUUUCUUUUUUAAGGGAAGUGUGCGAAGACAAUGUUUACAAUAAUUUUGAAAUGCUAGGAGGUGAGGGAAAAAUUGUUGAAAUUGAUAAAGCAAAGUUCGGAAGUAAUAAGAAUAAUAAAGGAUGUUUUUAAGAGGUACAUGGUUCUUUAGAGGCAUCGAGCAAGAUACAAAAAAUGUUUCGUUGUACCUGUGAAAGGCAGAACAAAGGAGACUUUUACAAAUCAUACAAAUCGGAACCACCAUUAUGAGUGACUGCUGGCGUUCUUGCCACUGUUUGAACAGCGAAGGAUAUCACCCUCUAACUGUAAACCACUCUUAUAAUUUUGUCAAUCCAGAGACAAAAGCUCACACUCAACACAUUGAGAGGCUCUGGAGAGAAGUUAGAUGGAACAUACCGAAAGCUGGUAACAAAAGGCAUCACAUCUUUAAACACUUGAUGGAGUUUUUAUUUUGAUUUAAGAACAAUGUGUAUCAAAAAAGAUCAUUAAAUAUUCAAAAACAUUGCUACUUUAUACAGGCCAAUAUCUACUGACUAUGAUUUAAAAAGCAGCACCACCUGAAACAGAAGCAAUGCCAUCAACUACCAUAACAACCACUCACUAGUUGCACCCAUUUUGACAGCAAAAGAAAGUAUGUCAAUGUCACAAAUCACCACCAUUGCAAAAUGCCCUGAUAUGACACCAUCAUUAGAAAUUACAUCUAUCCCCACAACAUCAUUGCCCAUAACAUUUCCACAACUGGAAAAGGAAAUGAUUAAACAAAAAAGGAUGAUCAUUAAAAUAGCUGCUGAUGGCAACUGUUUUUUUAGGGCAAUUAGUCAAAUUAUCUUUUUAACUGAGGACCAACAUAGGAAUAUGAGAAAACAAGUCACUUCUUUUAUGAUCACUCAUGAAGAAAAUUUUCAGAUGUUUUUGGAUGGUGACCUCAAGCAUGUGUACAGUAUGUCAUAUUCAGAGACUUAAUCCUCUCAAUCCUGCUAAGCAAUAUGAUAGCCUGUCUAGUAUGCUGAACCCCUUACAGUAUCAACUACCAGUACUGGGUGACAUGCUCAAAAUCCAAAAAGGAGAUGAUUGCUUUUAAAAAUAAAAAGAUUGUAGCUGAGGUACAGACUCUUGAGAUACAAGGCAACAACAGGUGACCCAUCUAACUUUAAAGUUUAAACUUAGCAAGUCUUAAAGUAAGAAUUGCAAGAUAAGUGGAUUAUAGACUUCAUAUUCUGUUGCACUCUGCUGGAAUCAUUCUUCACUUAAAAGAUAAGUCAUGUGGUACUUGAAAAGAUUUCAGCUGUCAUUGACUUGCAGCAACCAAAACUUAUCAGCUGAGUUUUAGGGUUUUUUGGAAAGAUGUUGACAGUAUCUUGGAUGACACUAAUCUACAAAACCUGAGAUACAGAUGAAACAUCUUACAGCAGAUUUAUUUUAAAAGGCCAAGAGAAUAAAAAGAAAAAGAGUUAAAAGCAUUAAUUCUAUAUGGAUACAUGUUAGUAUAGUUUGUGAGGGGAUAUCACCCCAAUCAGAAUAUUUGUUUUUAUAUGCUGAGUGAUAAGAAUAAAAAGUUUUUUUUAAGAUAAUUCCUCGCUCUCACUAAUUAAAAUAUUAAUUUCAUUUUUGAAUGGGAUAUGUUGAGAAAAAAAAUAUUUAGUACUGUUGCAAAUUUAACAAACUCACUUCAUAACAAGGCUAGAUAACAGGUUAGAUCAACAGUUACAAUUAAUCAUAUAGUUUACACAAAACAAAUUCCUCAAAAUAUUUUUUUUGUAUGGAACAGACACUCGGUAACAAUUCUGUCUCACUAGUAGUUUUAUUGACAGCCCCACAAGGGUGGAGUUGCUUCUUAGGAAUAGUUAUCAAUAAAUUAGCUUUUUCUCAUGGUUAUAACUGUACCCCUUCCCUGGUCCAUAUGCAUCUUGAUACUUUGGAGUUUACUUAUUUUUCAAUGAACUUCUUGAGUUACAAAAAUUAUGAACCUUCAAUAAAUAAAUAAAAAAUUCUAUUAUUAUUUUUAUUCUUUGGAAAUUUUUAAAAAGAAGUUUAAUGUA